rnacentral:rRNA from 1 species
UACGUAGGGUGCAAGCGUUAAUCGGAAUUACUGGGCGUAAAGCGUGCGCAGGCGGUUGUGCAAGACCGAUGUGAAAAUCCCCCGGGCUUAACCUGGGGAUGGCAUUGGUGACUGCACGGCUAGAGUGUGUCAGAGGGGGGGGUAGAAUUCCACGUGUAGCAGUGAAAAUGCGUAGAGAUGUGGAGGAAUACCGAUGGCGAAG